UUCUCCAGUGGCCUAGUGGUUAGAGCGUCCGCCUUGGAUGCUGGAGGUCUUGGGUUCGAUCCCUGACUGAGUCAUACAAA